rnacentral:sRNA from 1 species
CAGCACAAAGAAGCUAACUCAAAGAAACCGACGACCGGCAGACCGAGCAGGUUUCUAUAUAAAAAUUGGUAUUUUUCUCCAUUUAUUUACAAUAAUUUUUAUUUCACACAAUAUCUCGGAGUUGACCCGAUGGUAUUCCAGAGCCGAGGAAACAAAGAGAUGGAAAGCGAAACCAUAUUUUCGGGGAAAAUUGUCCCUCCCCGCAAGGUCAAACAACCACCUCGGGUGCAACACAAAUGAAGGGAUGCGAAGGGUGAAGGGUGAAAAUGAGGCGGGUAAUCUUGGAAGCCACUGGGUGCUCCUUCGUCGACCGGUAACGAGAGCGAGAGGUGGAACUCAAAAACAAAAAGAAAAAGAAAAAGAAAAAGAAAAAGAAAAAAGAAAAACAUCAUGAGAAACAGCAGUUGUUGGAACAAGAAUAGUAGCGGGAUGUAACUAUGGCUCAGAGUGAAUAAUAAUACCAUGAUCCAAGAAUAAUAGACAAGAAAGAAGCAUGGGUCAAAAUCGCUAAAAAAAAAGUCGUCUAUUAAGGAGUGCCACCCAAGAAAAACAACUAAGGAUAGGUAAUCAUGAAGGGAGAAGAAGCAAACGAAAAGGAAGGGGUUCGCCCUUCGCUCACCUCCCAAAAUCAGACAGACUCAUUCCAGUGAGCGGGAGAUUAUGGAAUCAAUCCUGUCAAAGAGAAAUCAUGAUGAUGACGAUGAUGAUGACGAUAUAUUAUGAUGCGCCGCCCCCAUAAAUAUGCCAUAAUAAAAAAAGAAAAGAGACAAAAGUAAAUGGGAAGAAAGAGCUUGUGUU